rnacentral:rRNA from 1 species
UGAGUAACACGUAUCCAACCUACCGGCUAUUCCGGGAUAGCCUUUCGAAAGAAAGAUUAAUACCGGAUAGCAUAGCGAGAAGGCAUCUUCUUGCUAUUAAAGAAUUUCGAUAACCGAUGGGGAUGCGUUCCAUAGUUUGUUGGCGGGUAACGGCCCACCAAGACAUCGAUGGAUAGGGGUUCUGAGAGGAAGGUCCCCCACAUUGGAACUGAGACACGGUCCAAAUUCCUACGGGAGGCAGCAGUGAGGAAUACUGGUCAAUGGACGAGAGUCUGAACCAGCCAAGUAGCGUGAAGGAUGACUGCCCUAUGGGUUGUAAACUUCUUUUAUAUGGGAAUAAAGUGAGCCACGUGUGGCUUUUUGUAUGUACCAUACGAAUAAGGAUCGGCUAACUCCGUGCCAGCCGCGGC